GACGAACGCUGGCGGCGUGCCUAAUACAUGCAAGUCGAACGCAGUGGGGACGGGUGAGUAACAAGUGGGUAACCUCCCAUCAGAGGGGAUAACACUUGGCAACAGGUGCUAAACCGAUACUGAUGGAUGGACCCGCGUGGCAUUAGCUAGUUGGUGAGGUACAGGCUCACCAAGGCCACGAUGCAUAGCUGACCUGAGAGGGUGACCAGCCACACUGGGACUGAGACACGGUCCAGACUCCUACGGGAGGCAGCAGUAGGGAAUCUUCGGCAAUGGACGAAAGUCUGACCGAGCAACGCCGCGUGAGUGAAGAAGGUUUUCGGAUCGUAAAACUCUGUUGUUAGAGAAGCGGUAUCUAACCAGAAAGCCACGGCUAACUACGUGCCAGCAGCCGCGGUAAUAC
rnacentral:rRNA from 1 species